GAUUAGAAAGAGAUAAAUAACAUUGAGUCAAGCUGAAAAAAGAGAAAUGGGGCACAGCAAUCUUGCAUUAAGUCAUACCUCCUUGUUUUAUCAUAGGGUCAUAUGGGACUGGACUGCUUAGGUGGAAGGGACACGUCCCACACAACUUGACUCAGCUGCGGCAUUUAGAACAUGACCGACAAGUGUCUGAUCUGUGGUUUAAGAGAAGAGUGGUCCUGUGCUGCAGCUGAAUUUCCUUGGUUUGGAAGGUGGAAAGGAAGAAUGUGUCACCUGUAGCUGGAGGAUAAUUAGGAAAACUGAAUGGGAGGCAGGACAUCUCGGUGUCUACAGCAUUAUCGGCUGUCCCUGAUUUAUGCUCCUAAAUUAGUGAGCUACUGCGGAACUUGAGAAAAGGACUAUCCAUGGAAUGCCAUUCCUCAUACAC